rnacentral:tRNA from 1 species
GGNUUAACCCCUUCCCUUAUUA